ensembl:lncRNA
GCCAGCUCAUCUCUGCAAGCUUGGAGACGGGGCCUGGCUGGCCUUGAACAGCAUAUCCAGGUGUUCACAGAGUUUUGAUGGAAGUGUGGAAGAGGGAGCUCCUCUUCAGUGUCUUCGCUGAAUCUCAUCGAAGGAUUCAUGCCUUCAACAGAACCUACCAUUCCCAAGGUGUGUGGGGAUUGCAACACUGUGCUUGCAUGCACUGUAGUGUUGUAGCCAAGGGCAGUGGCUGACAGCAGAACCAGAUGGGAGAGAGCAGAAGAGGCAUUUCUACCUGUGAAAUGAGUGAAAAGGCCAUAGCUCUUCAAUUAAAUGUAACUUCCCUACGGCAUGAUGAUCAGUGCUGCACUGCCUACAGCACCAACUGAAAUAAGGAAUGAGCUUCCCUUUGCAAGCGGCAAGAAAAUUAAGAAAUGGCUGUUCCCUAUAUCCUGCCCUAUUGGAGUGGUGGUGAAGUGUUAAUGGGUCACAGAGCACAAGGAUGGCUGUGUUGUAGCUCAGAAAGGGAAAGGGGAAACGUGACAAAGUAGUAAAGGCAUCAUCUCUGAAAAUAAUAAAUCAUAGCUAUCGGUGUAUAAAUAAUAAAAGUAAUCAGAACUAUCUGCAAAGCGUCC